rnacentral:rRNA from 1 species
CCUACGGGAGGCAGCAGUCGAGAAUCAUUCACAAUGGGGGAAACCCUGAUGGUGCGACGCCGCGUGGGGGAAUGAAGGUCUUCGGAUUGUAAACCCCUGUCAUGUGGGAGCAAAUUAAAAAGAUAGUACCACAAGAGGAAGAGACGGCUAACUCUGUGCCAGUAGCCGCGGUAAUACAGAGGUCUCAAGCGUUGUUCGGAAUCACUGGGCGUAAAGCGUGCGUAGGCUGUUUCGUAAGUCGUGUGUGAAAGGCGCGGGCUCAACCCGCGGACGGCAGAUGAUACUGCGAGACUAGAGUAAGGGAGGGGGAAGCGGAAUGCUCGGUGUAGCAGUGAAAUGCGUAGAUAUCGAGAGGAACACUCGUGGCGAAGGCGGGUUCCUGGACAUUAACUGACGCUGAGGCACGAAGGCGAGGGGAGCGAAAGGGAUUAGAUACCCGGGUAGUC